rnacentral:rRNA from 1 species
GAAUUCGCCCUUAGAGUUUCUUUCUGGCUCAGGACGAACGCUGGCGGCGUGCCUAACACAUGCAAGUCGAACGGACCUAGCUUGAUAGCAAUAUUGGGCGACGGUUAGUGGCGAACGGGUGAGUAACGCGUGAGCAACCUGCCUUUCAGAGGGGGAUAACAGCUGGAAACAGUUGCUAAUACCGCAUAAAGUAUUUAAGUGGCAUCACUUUAAUACCAAAGGUUAAUUCCGCUGAGAGAUGGGCUCACGUCUGAUUAGCUAGAUGGUGGGGUAAUGGCCUACCAUGGCAACGAUCAGUAGCCGGUCUGAGAGGAUGAACGGCCACAUUGGGACUGAGAUACGGCCCAGACUCCUACGGGAGGCAGCAGUGGGGAAUAUUGGGCAAUGGGCGCAAGCCUGACCCAGCAACGCCGCGUGAAGGAAUAAGGCCUUCGGGUUGUAAACUUCUUUUAUCAGGGACGAAGGAUGUGACGGUACCUGAUGAAUAAGCCACGGCUAACUACGUGCCAGCAGCCGCGGUAAUACGUAGGUGGCAAGCGUUGUCCGGAUUUACUGGGUGUAAAGGGCGCGUAGGCGGGAAUGCAAGUCAGAUGUGAAAUCCAUGGGCUCAACCCAUGAACUGCAUUUGAAACUGUGUUUCUUGAGUGAUGGAGAGGCAGGCGGAAUUCCUAGUGUAGCGGUGAAAUGCGUAGAUAUUAGGAGGAACACCAGUGGCGAAGGCGGCCUGCUGGACAUCAACUGACGCUGAGGCGCGAAAGCGCGGGGAGCAAACAGAAGUAGAUACCCUGGUAGCCCGCGCCGUAAACG